rnacentral:rRNA from 1 species
AGAACGAACGUUGGCGGUCUGGAUUAGGCAUGCAAGUCGCGGGAAUGCCAGCAAUGGCGGAACCGGCGUAAGGGGCAGUAAGGCAUGGGUACCUACCUGGAGGUGGGGUAUAGCCUGUAGAAAUACAGGGUAAUCCCGCAUAAUGUCGAAAGACCAAAGCUCCGGCGCCAUCAGAGGGGCCCAUGUGAUAUUAGCUAGUUGGUGAGGUAACGGCUCACCAAGGCGAAGAUGUCUAGCGGGUGUGAGAGCACGACCCGCGCCACUGGCACUGAGACACUGGCCAGACACCUACGGGUGGCUGCAGUCGAGGAUCUUCGGCAAUGGGCGCAAGCCUGACCGAGCGAGACCGCGUGUGCGACGAAGGCCUUCGGGUUGUAAAGCACUGUCGAGGGGAGAAAGCGCAAGCUUGAUCUAUCCCUGGAGGAAGCACGGGCUAAGUUCGUGCCAGCAGCCGC